GACGAACGCUGGCGGCGUGCUUAACACAUGCAAGUCGAACGGAAAGGCCCUGCUUUUGUGGGGUGCUCGAGUGGCGAACGGGUGAGUAACACGUGAGUAACCUGCCCUUGACUUUGGGAUAACUUCAGGAAACUGGGGCUAAUACCGGAUAGGAGCUCCUGCUGCAUGGUGGGGGUUGGAAAGUUUCGGCGGUUGGGGAUGGACUCGCGGCUUAUCAGCUUGUUGGUGGGGUAGUGGCUUACCAAGGCUUUGACGGGUAGCCGGCCUGGGAGGGUGACCGGGCACCAUGGGCCUGGGGUACGGCCCAGUAUCCUACCGGGGGCAAGAGUGGGGAAUAUUGCCAAAUUGGGCGGAGCCUGAUGCAACAACCCCGGGUUCGGGAAGACGGGCUUCGGGGUGUGAACCGCUUUCGCCUGUGCCGGAGCCUUAGUGACGGUAAUUGGUAAAAAAGCCACGGCUAACUACGUG
rnacentral:rRNA from 1 species